UUGUUUACCUGGCAGGGGGAUCUUAGCAUGAUUACUAAGGUGGCUCUUCAAGGCCAAGGCUGGUUCAUUGCUCCCUGAGCCUGCUGACUUCUGUUAUUUCCUCACAUGCAGGAAACUCGACCGCACAAUUUAUGGUAGUGGGGUUCUGUGUGCGCAUUUUUCCAUG